rnacentral:rRNA from 1 species
UUCGAGGGAAGCGGCAACAGCUGAAAUGUGACUGUGGCCUUUGGCCGAGUUGUAAUUUGUAGAAGGAGCUUCGGGCGCGGUCACGGUCCAAGUCCCUUGGAACAGGGCGUCGCAGAGGGUGAGAAUCCCGUACGCGGCCGACGACCAAGCCUGGGUGAAGCCCUUUCGACGAGUCGAGUUGUUUGGGAAUGCAGCUCUAAAUGGGUGGUAAAUUUCAUCUAAAGCUAAAUAUCUGCCAGAGACCGAUAGCGCACAAGUAGAGUGAUCGAAAGAUGAAAAGCACUUUGAAAAGAGAGUCAAAAAGUACGUGAAAUUGUUGAAAGGGAAGCGAUUGCUAUCAGACUCGUUUGCGGGUGUUCAGCCGCUGUACGCAGUGGUGCACUCUCCCGUUUCGGGCCAGCAUCGGUUCCGGCGACCGGAUAAAGGCUUCGGGAACGUAGCUCUCUUCGGGGAGUGUUAUAGCCCGGGGUGCAAUGCGGCCAGCUGGGACCGAGGACCGCGCACUGCUAGGAUGCUGGCGUAAUGAUAGCAAUCGGCCCGUCUUGAAACACGGACCAAGGAGUCGACCAAUCACGCGAGUGUUUGAGUAUCAAACUCGCACGCGUAAUGAAAGUAAACGUAGGUGGGAGCCUUACGGCGCACCAUCGACCGAUCUUGAUGUUUUCGGAUGGAUUUGAGUAUGAGCCUGGUUGGUCGGACCCGAAAGGUAAGAUCUUUUCUGGCUAUUUGCAGCACACAUUUUGCUAACGAUUUUUCAGAUGGUGAACUAUGCGUGAAUAGGGUGAAGCCAGAGGAAACUCUGGUGGAGGCUCGCAGCGGUUCUGACGUGCAAAUCGAUCGUCAAAUUUGCGCAUAGGGGCGAAAGACUAAUCGAACCGUCUAGUAGCUGGUUCCCGUCGAAGUUUCCCUCAGGAUAGCAGCAGCGAAAUUAGUCUCAUGAGGUAGAGCAAACGAUUAGAGGUCUUGGGGUUGAAAUCGACCUUAACCUAUUCUCGAACUUCGAAUAUGUGAGAAGUCCUUGUUACUUAGUUGAACGUGGACAUUGGAUAGUCCGUUCAGG